GACGAACGCUGGCGGCGUGCUUAACACAUGCAAGUCGAACGGAAAGGCCCCUUUGGGGGUACUCGAGUGGCGAACGGGUGAGUAACACGUGAGUAACCUGCCCUUGACUUCGGGAUAACUUCAGGAAACUGGGGCUAAUACCGGAUAGGAAUCCUUGCUGCAUGGUGGGGGUUGGAAAGCUUCGGCGGUUUUGGAUGGACUCGCGGCUUAUCAGCUUGUUGGUGGGGUAAUGGCUUACCAAGGCUUUGACGGGUAGCCGGCCUGAGAGGGCGACCGGCCACAUUGGGACUGAGAUACGGCCCAGACUCCUACGGGAGGCAGCAGUGGGGAAUAUUGCACAAUGGGCGGAAGCCUGAUGCAGCAACGCCGCGUGCGGGAUGACGGCCUUCGGGUUGUAAACCGCUUUCAGCAGGGGCGAAGCUUGUGGUGACGGUACCUGCAGAAGAAGCACCGGCUAACUACGUG
rnacentral:rRNA from 1 species